GGGGCGCUCAAAUGAAUGUGAAUUGCUCAGUGUACGAACCCGCACCUCGGUUGAUUGCCCAACCUCCUCCUGUUAGUCGACCGCUGCAGAGAGGAAGCUGGCAGACAGGAAGCACCUCCAGCACUUCUAGUAGUAGCAGUCACAGAUUGAGCAUUCAGAGCACCGUCAGCAACAGCAGUGGGAUGGAAGGUGAAUGUGAGGAGCCUCCGGACAUUCCUCUUCCUCCACUGCCUCUCCGGCCCGCUGUGGAUACUCCACCAGUACUUCCCUCCACCCAGGGGUCCCACGACGUGUAAUAGAGAGGAAUACAGAGAUAAAUGAGCGAUAUGUAUCGACUCCAUCCCGUCCUGUUCAUCAGACGCCUGCGCAACGGCCCAUGCCACCUCCACCAAUACCGAGACGCACAUGGUGAUGGCCUGCUUCAGCACGGCUGGCUUUCGUUUUGUUUGACUCUGCACUUUUCUUGUUGAGCCUGUGAGAUAUGUGAGUCUCUUCAAGGAGGAACAGAAACUAUUGGCUGUGUCCGAAACUGAAGACAGCUCCUUUGCUGCCCUAUCAGUCAGUGACCUUACAGAGGUUUUGCAUGAAGGUGACUCUUAAGGAAACUGGUUUGCCAUUUAUAUUCUUUUUACCAACUGCCAUCUAUUGUAGGUAGAAAACAGGAUAUUAUGCAAACGUCAGAUUCAGAAGUCUUGAAGCUAUCUUAUUUUUCAUAUGCUGCCUGUGGUUUCAGACACAGUCAGUGGAUCAGUAUCCAGUGUUCAACUGUUUUAAUCUAGACUCCACUUGCAAUGCAAACAAUCACCUUAGUUUAUAGGUAUUAAAUUAUAAAUCUUCAGCUGAAGAUAUGCAAUAUGUUUAAGUUUUUUUUUCAUAAAGUCACUUGUUUGCUAUAAAGCCAUUUGUUUUGUGCUCUCUGAGUGCCUUUAGUAGCAAAUAGCAAACUCAAGAAUUUGCCUACAUUUGUUUUUAAUCAGAACAAUACUUUGUGUUGGCUGUGAUCGGUCAUGAGAUGAUGAGAUUUAUUGUUCAAGAGUUUUCUGCGUUUUAAAAAUAUUUAUUGAUGUAUUCACAUAUUAUUGCUGGCUGUAAUAUAUCCCCGAAAGAGAAGCAGGGAAACAGUGUAUUUAACAGCAGAAAAAGUGUGAAUGCAGUGUGAAGAAGGAAGAUGUGUGUUAUGUAUGUAUUUGUUUGUCUGCGUGUUCAUGUUUGUUAGUCCAUGAAGACAAAACUAAUUAAAGUGAUUAAGUAAA